rnacentral:rRNA from 1 species
UACGUAGGGCGCAAGCGUUAUCCGGAAUUAUUGGGCGUAAAGAGCUCGUAGGCGGUUUGUUGCGUCGGCUGUGAAAUCCCGAGGCUCAACCUCGGGUCUGCAGUCGAUACGAGCAAACUAGAGUGUUGCAGGGGGAGACUGGAAUUCCUGGUGUAGCGGUGAAAAUGCGCAGAUAUCAGGAGGAACACCGGUGGCGAAGGCGGAUCUCUGGGGCCAUUACUGACGCUGAGGAGCGAAAGCGUGGGGAGCGAACAGG